CAGACUAUAAUCUAGGAUUGAUCUUUAUUUACAUUAAAGAUAUAUUUGUGCGAUUCAAAUUAGUUUGA
rnacentral:tRNA from 1 species